rnacentral:rRNA from 1 species
UACGAAGGGGGCGAGCGUUGUUCGGAAUCACUGGGCGUAAAGGGCGCGUAGGCGGCCCUCCUUGUCGCGUGUGAAAGCCCCGGGCUCAACCUGGGAACGGGCGCGCGAGACGGGGGGGCUGGAGUUCGGGAGAGGAGCGUGGAAUUCCCAGUGUAGAGGUGAAAUUCGUAGAUAUUGGGAAGAACACCGGUGGCGAAGGCGGCGCUCUGGACCGAGACUGACGCUGAGGCGCGGAAAGCGUGGGGAGCAAACAGG